UAAACUAGGAUUAGAUACCCUAUUAUUUUAAAUGUGAAUUUAUAAUACUAAAUUAUUAGUAGCUAUGUUCUUGAAAAUUAAAAAAUUUGGCGGUAUUUUAGUCUUUUCAGAGGAACCUGUCCUUUAAUCGAUAGUCCACGAUAUAGGGUACUUUAUUUAUUAAUUUACAUAUCGUCGUAGUUAGAAUAUUUUAAAAGAAUAAUAAUAUUCUAGAUUUUUUAUUAAAAAUAAAAUCAGAUCAAGGUGUAAUUUAUAAUAAAGGAGAGAUGGGUUACAUUUAAAUUAUUAUAGGAUAUUUUUUAGGAUAAAAGAUUGAAUUUGGAUUUGAAAGUAAUUUUAUUGAAUUAAUUAAGAUGAUUUUAGCUCUAGAAUAUGCACACAUCGCCCGUCGCUCUUAA
rnacentral:rRNA from 1 species